GUGGAACAUUCGCGACAGCGCUGAUCUCAUGUUAUCUGUGAUAAUCUCUCCCGCUUAUAACUUUACGAAAGCACUCUGGACGAAAGUUAUUUCAGUGUCUUCAGAGAAUACAACGGAACCCUCGACUCGUGAUUAUGAGUCCAACACACCGGAACCGGAAUUGGUUAAGAUCGGGAUCCUUAGCGCUCUUAUUGUCCUCAUCGCGGGUUUCGCCCUCGUGAUUGUCGUCUGGCAGUGCAAACGAUUCCUAUGGGACAUGGAUCCAAACCGGGACGAUACGGCGUUUGACGGUCUACAUGUGUCCGUUGAACACGGGAAGAUUUCUUUUAGUGCUCGAGAACAACAAACUUCUUUCGGUGUGCAUCCAUGAGGAACUGGGCUGUUUUACAAUGUGCAUCCAUGAGGAACUUGGCUGUUUUACAAUGUGCAUCUAUGAGGAACUGAGCUGUUUUACGAUGUGCACCCAUAAUGAACUGAGCUGUUUUAUGAUGUACAUUCAUGAGGAACUGAGCUGUUUAUCGAUGUGCAUUCAUGAGGAACUGAGCUGUUUUACCAUGGGUGGCGAAAUCAAAUGUCCGAGUUGCCCGAGUCGUACAUUUGCUUGUCCGGGCAACUGUUUUUUUUUCAUUAAGUUGUCCGUGGACAACCAGUCGGGUUGAUAAAUACAAAAAAAAAUAGAUUGUAUUAAAGCCGUUAUUAAAAUUUACAAAACCGGAUGUUGGCACCCGAUAACAUUGUCAGUGCUAUUUGCGGAGCAAUCAAGCUAAAAUAUGGGCACUCUCCUGCACAAUGGUCUCGCUUAUUCUACAAGCAUGAUAAGAGACCAGGAGGCUAGCAUGCCGCAUUUUCAACAUUCGGCCCGUCUGUUUAAUAGGCAGUGUACAGACUGGUUUGCUCGUUUAUUCCGUAAAUGUUGAACUUUCGUCUUAAAUUUUAAAAUGCAUUAUUAAUACCAAAAGGGAGGUAUAAAACCCGAAAAUUUCCGGAAAACCCAGAGUGUGUCACAUCACUCCUACCUAACUAAAUUUCUAGACUUACAAACGUCGAGACGUUGGGACGUGAUAAGCCGAAAGCCGAGUUGGAUUACGUACAGUUCCGUUGAUUGGGUGAAGUGUUCCGUUUAAAUCAACUACAAUUUAUAUUAAAGUUGAACAAAGACGGUAAAAUAGUCAUUAUGUAUAAAAAACAUAUAUAUAAUGUAUAAUUUGAACAUUACAUUUCCUGGCUUAUUUCAUCUGCAAAAAUGAAAAUUAUAUAUUGAAAUACUGUUUUAAAACACCGCUGUGGUUUUAACCGUGUUGAAUGGUAGAUCUCACUACAUACAAUUACGACUGACUUAUAACAUCAUGACGUAUUUUCAGGUGAGCUUAUGAAGCAAUAUCAUACAUUUAAAGCAAAAUCACACUACUUCCUGAAGUACAACUUACUCUCGUGUGCUUGAUUGGUUUCCAAUUUUAUAAUUCAAAACCGAAACUUAAAAAGACAGGAAGAAAAUUCAUUCAAAUUCAACUGACAUGGAUGUAAAGACCGGAAUAUUAUGUUGAGAUAAAACACCAAAUAACACGUAAACAGGACAAAAUAGUUUUCCCUGACAAAGAAGAACACUUGAACAAUUGAUCAUAUGAUACGACACAAUUGGACAGGAAGAAAAUUCAUUCAAAUCCAACUGACAUGGAUGUAAAGACCGGAAGAUUAUGUUGAGAUAAAACACCAUACGUAAACAGGAAAAAAAUAGAUUUUCCUCACAAAGAAGAUAACUUAAACAUUUGAUCAUAUGAUACGACAUAAUUGGACGCGUUUGGCCAAUCCGAAAGCAAUUGCGUAAAUAUUGAGCGGAGAUAUUUGGUAAACAAAAUAAUGAUGUAAGCAAUAUAUUUCGGCGUUUUACUCACAAUAUCCCGCUUAUAAAUCCGGUUGUGUACGCAAAUAUAAACACGUGUAAUGUUUCAAGACACUUCAUUUUUAUAUUUUGUUAAUCAGUGCUUGCUAGUCUUCCUAAUGCUUCAUUUCUUAUCAAUGUCGUUGAUACCAUUUUAAAAAUACUGUAGUACGUGUUAACCAUGUAACCAACAACCCAAUACGUUAUAACAUAAUACUACUGUUCUGAAUGGUUUGAUAUAAUGCAACCUUUGUGUCAUAAACGCCUCAUGAUGUUGUGAAUAACCGGGAUGACUGACAAAAAAGGUCAAAACACAAAAUGCAUUUGCAAAAUGUGAACUCCGUUAGCCUGAUGACAUGUUAUCAACAUUUAUGCUGGUUUUGCAAGUCUAUUAUUUUAAUAAAAUACUUUUAAAUACUGUUGCUCAAAAAGAUACAGGGCAGCGCAUACAUACAAGUAGUAUUUAAAGACGAAUGUGCUGUUCAUGUAUAACUUGAUUUGAAUAAAUAUAAGAUAAUAAAAAUGUCAAAACAAAAGCUAAAUGGAAGAAGUUCAGGAUUUUUUUCGUUAUUUCAUUUAAAAACGUGUACUUUCGUAGUAAUGGCAGUCAACACAGUUUUGAAAUUAACCUGGAGA